GACGAACGCUGGCGGCGUGCUUAACACAUGCAAGUCGAACGGAAAGGCCCUGCUUGUGUGUUGUGCUCGAGUGGCGAACGGGUGGGUAACACGGGAGUAAUCUGGCCUUGACUUUGGGAUAACUUCAGGAAACUGGGGCUAAUACCGGAUAGGAAAUCCUGCUUCAUGGUUGGGGUGGGAAAGUUUCGGCGGUUGGGGAUGGAUUCGCGGCUUAUCAGCUUGUGGGUGGGGUAGUGGCUUACCAGGUCUUGGACGGGUAGACGGCCUGAGAGGGUGAGCGGCAACACUGGAACUGAGAUACGGCCCAGACUCAUACGGGAGGCAGCAGAGCGGAAGAUAGCACAAUGGGCGGAAGCCAGACGCAGCAACGCAGCGUGCGGGAUGACGGCCGUCGUGUUGUAAACAGCUUUCGCCUGUGACGAAGCGAGAGUGACAGUAACCGGUAAAGAAGCACCGGCUAACUCCGUG
rnacentral:rRNA from 1 species